rnacentral:rRNA from 1 species
UACCAUAGCAUUCGCUAAUACAUGCAGUCGAGCGAAUUGACAGAGGUGCUUGCACCUUCUCGAUUUUAGCGGCGGACGGGUGAGUAACACGUGGGUAACCUACCUAUAAGACUGGGAUAACUUCGGGAAACCGGAGCUAAUACCGGAUAAUAUUUAGCUUCGCAUGAAGCAAUAGUGAAAGACGGUUCUGCUGUCACUUAUAGAUGGACCUGCGGGGUAUUAGCUAGUUGGUGAGGUAACGGCUCACCAAGGCAACGAUACAUAGCCGACCUGAGAGGGUGAUCGGCCACACUGGGACUGAGACACGGCCCAGACUCCUACGGGAGGCAGCAGUAGGGAAUCUUCCGCAAUGGACGAAAGCCUGACGGAGCAACGCCGCGUGAGUGAAGAAGGUUUUCGGAUCGUAAAACUCUGUUGUAAGGGAAGAACAAGUACGUUAGUAACUGAACGUACCUUGACGGUACCUUACCAGAAAGCCACGGCUAACUACGUGCCAGCAGCCGCGGUAAUACGUAGGUGGCAAGCGUUAUCCGGAAUUAUUGGGCGUAAAGCGCGCGUAGGCGGUCUCUUAAGUCUGAUGUGAAAGCCCCCGGCUCAACCGGGGAGGGUCAUUGGAAACUGGGAGACUUGAGUACAGAAGAGGAGAGUGGAAUUCCAUGUGUAGCGGUGAAAUGCGCAGAGAUAUGGAGGAACACCAGUGGCGAAGGCGGCUCUCUGGUCUGUAACUGACGCUGAGGUGCGAAAGCGUGGGGAUCAAACAGGAUUAGAUACCCUGGUAGUCCACGCCGUAAACGAUGAGUGCUAGUGUUGGGGGGUUUCCGCCCCUCAGUGCUGCAGCUAACGCAUUAGCACUCCGCCUGGGGAGUACGGUCGCAAGACUGAAACUCAGAAAUUUUGGGCGA